AUUUUACCAAAGAAUGUCUCUCUCCUUAAAUCUAUUCCACUACCAUAUUUGUGAUGUAUUAUGGGCCAGUUUUCCCCUUUUCAAUGUCUAAAUCUAAUCUUUUUCCUUGGAAACAUUGGGAAAGGGGAGAAGGUCUUUGGAUCAUAUAGAGUUAGAAUUUGGAGGAAGCUUUCUCUGUGAUCAGAAGCCAAAUUCUGUAGGAAAGAAGAGAAGGAAGGCUCUAGAUUAGAGUUAUGUUACAGUUAUUGAACUAUUGAUGAGUAAUAUAUCUGGAUUCCUGAACAUUUCUUAGCUCAGUCUUUUUAAAUGGCUUGACUUGGAUUGGGGACAGGGUACAGAGCAGGAAGAGCAGAGUAGAACAAAUAUAUAUGAAAUGCAAUUUUGAGGUCAUAUGCAUCAGUUCAGUUCAGUUCAGUUGCUCAGUCGUGUCUGACUCUUUGUAACCCCAUAAAUCGUAGCAUGCCAAGCCUCCCUGUCCAUCAUCAUCUCCCGGAGUUCACACAAACUCAUGACCAUCGAGUUGGUGAUGCAUCCAGCCAUCUCAUCCUCUGUUAUCCCGUUCUCCUCCUGCCCCCAAUCCCUCCCAGCAUCAGAGUCAACUCUUCGCAUGAGGUGGUCAAAGUACUGGGGUUUCAGCUUUAGCAUCAUUCCUUCCAAAGAAAUCCCAGGGCUCAUCUCCUUCAGAAUGGACUGGUUGGAUCUCCUUGCAGUCCAAGGGACCCUCAAGAGUCUUCUCCAACACCACAGUUCAAAAGCAUCAAUCCUUCAGUGCUCAGCUUUCUUCACAGUCCAACUCUGAAAUCCAUACAUGACCACAGGAAAAACCACAGCCUUGCCUAGACGGACCUUUGUUGGCAAAGUAAUGUCUCUGCUUUUGAAUAUAUUAUCUAGGUUGGUCAUAACUUUUCUUCCAAGGAGUAAGCGUCUUUUAAUUUCAUGGCUGUAGUCACCAUCUGCAGUGAUUUUUGGAGCCCCCCAAAAUAAAGUCUGACACUGUUUCCACUGAUUCCCCAUCUAUUUCCCAUGCAGUGAUCGGACCAGAUGACAUGAUCUUUGUUUUCUGAAUGUUGAGCUUUAAGCCAAAUUUUUCACUCUCCUCUUUCACUGUCAUCAAGAGGACUUUUAGUUCCUCUUCACUUUCUGCCAUAAGGGUGGUGUCAUCUGCAUAUCUGAGGUUAUUGAUAUUUCUCCUGGCAAUCUUGAUUCCAGCUUGUGUUUCUUCCAGUCCAGCAUUUCUCAUGAUGUACUCUGCAUAUAAGUUAAAUAAGCAGGGUGACAAUAUACAGCCUUGAUGUACUCCUUUUCGUAUUUGGAACCAGUCUGUUGUUCCAUGUCCACUUCUAACUGUUGCUUCCUGACCUGCAUACAGAUUUCUCAAGUGGCAGGUCAGGUGGUCUUGUAUUCCCAUCUCUUUCAGAAUUUUCCACAGUUUAUUGUGAUCCACACAGUCAAAGGCUUUGGCAUAGUCAAUAAAGCAGAAAAAGAUGUAUUUCUGGAACUCUCUUGCUUUUUCCAUGAUCCAGCGGAUGUUGGCAAUUUGAUCUCUGGUUCCUCUGCCUGUUCUAAAACCAGCUUGAACAUGGGACCAGAUGCCAUGAUCUUGAACAUCAGGAAGUUCAUGGUUCACGUAUUGCUGAAGCCUUGCUUGGAGAAUUGUGAACAUUAGUUUACUAGCAUCAGUCAUGUCCAAUUCUGUGCAACCCCGUAGACGGCAGCCCACCAGGCUCCCCUGUCCCUGGGAUUCUCCAGGCAGGAACACUGAAUUGAAUUGCCAUUUCUUUCUCAAUGCAUGAAAGUGAAAAGUGAAAAUGAAGUCGCUCAGUCAUGUCCGACUCUUCAUGACCCCAUGGACUGCAGCCUACCAAGUUCCUCCAACCAUGGGAUUUUCCAGGCAAGAGUACUGGAGUGCGUUGCCAUUUCCUUCUCUGAUGAUGCAGAAUAUUCCCAUGCAAACUCUCUAUAUUCCUUUUGACCUAUUCUAAUCAUCUUUGGGUACUUUAGGAGCAUUUAAAAUUUUUAUUUAUGUAGAUCUUGUCAUUUCUUGUUAGAUUUAUUUUUAAAUAUUUGUUGUUGUGCAGUUGUGUCUGACUCUUUGUGACCUCAUGGACUGUAGGAUGCCAGGCUUCUCUGUCCUUCACCAUCUCCUGGAGCUUGCUCAAAUUCAUGUCAGUUGAGUCAGUGAUACCAUCCAACCAUCUCAUCCUCUGUUGUUCCCUUCUCCUCCUGCCUUCCAUCUUUCCCAGCAUCAGGGUCUUUUCUAAAGAGUCAGCUCUUUGCAUCAAGUGGCCAAAGUAUUGGAGCUUCAGCUUCACCAUUGUCCUUCCAGUGAAUAUUCAGCGUUGAUUUCCUUUAGAACUGACUGGUUUGAUCUUGCAGUCCAAAGAACUCUCAAGAGUCUCUCCAAGACAAAGUUCUAAUGCAUCAAUUCUUCAGCACUCAGCUUUCUUUAUAGUUUAACUCUCACAUCCAUACAUGAUUACUAGAAAAACCAUAACUUUGGCUAGACUGACCUUUGUUGGCAAAGUAACACCUCUGCUUUUUAAUACACUGUCUAGGUUGGUCAUACCUUUUCUUGUAAGGAACAAGGUCUUUUAAUUUUAUGGCUGCCGUCACUAUCUGCAGUGAUUUUGGAGCCCAAGAAAUAAAGCCUAUCACUGUUUCCAUUGUUUCCUCAUCUAUUUGCCAUAAAGUGAUGGGAUUCCAUGAUCUUAGUUUUCUGAAUGCUGGGUUUUAAGCCAGCUUUUUCACUCUCCUCUUUCACCUUCAUCAAGAGGCUGUUUAGUUCCUCUUCACUUUCUGUCAAAAGGGCGGUGUCGUCUGAAUAUCUGAGGUUAUUGAUACUUCUCCCAGCAAUCUGACUCCACUUGUGCUUCAUCCAGCCUGGCUAAAUAUUUUAUAUAUCCUAUUGCUGUUAGAAAUUUGAGUUUUCCCACUUUUUUAUGUCCUUUAACUGAAUGCUAUUUACAU
ensembl:lncRNA